GUGCUUGCUUCGGCAGCACAUAUACUAAAUUGGAAUGAUACAGAGAAGAUUAGCAUGGCCCCUGCACAAGGAUGACAUACAAAUUCGUGAAGCAUUCCAUAUUUUU
rnacentral:snRNA from 1 species